CCAGCCACCGCGGUUACACGAUUAACCCUAGCUAAUAGAAACCGGCGUAGAGGGUGUUUAAGAUCUGACAUAAUAAAGCUAAACUCCAUCUAAACUGUAAAACUCUAGCUGAUGUAAAAUAAACUACGAAAGUGGCUUUAAAGCUUCUGAACACACAAUAGCCAGGACCCAAACUGGGAUUAGACACCCUACUAUGCUUGGCCCUAAACCUCAGUAGUUAGAUAACAAAACUACUCGCCAGAAUACUACGAGCUACAGCUUAAAACUCAAAGGACUUGACGGUGCUUUACACCCCCUAGAGGAGCCUGUUCCGUAAUCGAUAAACCCCGAUCCACCCCACCCUCUCUUGCUCAGCCUAUAUACCGCCAUCUUCAGCAAACCCUAAUGAAGGCCACAAAGUGAGCGCAAACGCCAUCACCGCGAAUACGUUAGGUC
rnacentral:rRNA from 1 species